CCGGUAAUCUGUUUUCUUCUCUCCUUCAAAUUUACAGACCUACACUCUACAACCCUCUACUUUUUCUCUCAAACUCUCUCCUGCAUUUGAGAUUGAGAGCUGAGUUCUUUAUUUGUUUUUUUUUUCUUUUUCAAUUAAACAAAUAAAUAAAAGAUGCAACCAUGGGCAUGACUUCUCUGUUAAUCCUCGUAGCCCUUUUCUUUCUGGCAUCAUUUUCUCAUUGCUUGAUCCACAAACAGCCCAGCUCCGAGAGUCUCAGGGUACAACCUCUUUGUGCAUGCUUGCUUGUACAUUCACAUAUUCACACUGAUGAUUUUGUUGGUGCAGGGUUGGGUGGCGGCGGAGAAAACGAGGCUGGGCUCAACGCCGCCGAGCUGC
rnacentral:lncRNA from 1 species